CUACGGGACGCAGCAGUAAGGAAUAUUGCGCAAUGGAGGCAACUCUGACGCAGCCAUGCCGCGUGCAGGAAGAAGGCCUUAUGGGUCGUAAACUGCUUUUAUUUAGGAAUAAACCCCCGAACGUGUUCGGGGCUGAAGGUACUAAACGAAUAAGCACCGGCUAACUCCGUGCCAGCAGCCGCGGUAAUACGGAGGGUGCAAGCGUUAUCCGGAUUUAUUGGGUUUAAAGGGUGCGCAGGCGGGCUAUUAAGUCAGUGGUGAAAUCCCGGGGCUCAACUCCGGAACUGCCAUUGAUACUGAUAGUCUUGAGUUUGGUUGAAGUGGGCGGAAUGUAGCAUGUAGCGGUGAAAUGCAUAGAUAUGCUACAGAACACCAAUCGCGAAGGCAGCUCACUAAGCCAAAACUGACGCUCAUGCACGAAAGCGUGGGGAUCAAACAGGAUUAGAUACCCGUGUAGUC
rnacentral:rRNA from 1 species